rnacentral:rRNA from 1 species
UGUGUAGGCGGUUAUUUAAGUCUUUGGUGUAAGUGCAGGGCUCAACUCUGUGAUGCUAAGGAAACUGGAUGACUUGAGUGUGGUAGAGGUAAGUAGAAUUCCAUGUGUAGCGGUAAAAUGCGUAAAUAUAUGGAGGAAUACCAGUGGCGAAGGCGGCUUACUGGGCCACAACUGACGCUGAGGCACGAAAGCGUGGGGAGCAAACAGGAUUAGAUACCCUGGUAGUCC